UUCCUUCAAUAAGAAUAAUCAACCUAAUUAAAUAAUUGCAGGUUAAAAUUAAAUUUCAUUUCAAUAUUCUUGACCAGGGAACCCUAAGAGUUUUUAAGUGUUUAAGUAACUCAGUUGUGUAAGCGUUAACAGUCAGAAAUAUAUCCAGGUCAUCUAAGUCAUACAAUUGUCAGAUGGUUGCUAGGCAACAGAUAUCAGGUUUGGCUGAUGCUUGUUUCUAGGCAAAGCUUACCAUGUGAAAAGAAGAACAAAUUACAUGACACCUGCAUUUUGUUGUUAUGCUUUUUGAAAAUAAAGUUGUAUUUGGAGGGGAAAAAAGCCCUGACAUUUAUUAUGCACAUCAUCUUUCUUCUAAAUGUCAGAACUAUAUCAUUUGAUAGUUAAGUGAUAAGGUACAAUGAAUUGAAAUGACGGAUGACAUUUUAUUUCUUUUAUGGUUUUAGAUAAGGGCCUUUUGCCUAAUGCUGUUUUUAUAUCUUGUCAUCAAGUUAAUUAACUUUCUGAAUUCAUUAUGAUAGAAAAGAAGCUGCAAGUCAAAAUUAAUUGAAAUAUAAUUAAUUUAAAAUAUACAUAUUUCAAUGCUACUGAGGACAAGAAGUGAAAAUGACUUAUGUUACAUGAUUCUAGUACAACAUCAAAAUAUUUCACUGGUGAUGGAAGUGAUGUUGAGAGAGAGAUCACGUUUUAGAAAUCUAAGGUAAUAUUCCCAUUUUUGGAUAGUUAAAGACCUAGUCAAAAUUAUAGCUUGGCCCACAAAGUCUGAUGUUGGAACUCUGCCAAGUGUGAAGACGUAUUCUUCCAUCACGGUAAGGAUAUGUGGAUGAGAAGAACCACAACACAAUGAAGACAACAGUCAAAGUAUGUUAUCAAGUGUCAUGCCUGGGGGAAAGCCUGGCUGUCUAUGCAGAGGCUCUGGAAGAGAAAUUAGGUUGCUGACUGGCUGGAGAUAAUUUGCUCUAUGUAAUUCUGAAGACAUCAUUUCAGUGAAGAUCUCUUCUUGUAAUUCUUCAAGACGUUUUUCUUUGAGGGGAUCAUGCUAACAAAAUGGAAAAAUGCUUCUGACAUCUAAAAGAGUAUCUUUGCCAUCCAUCCUUUUGUUGUAGCUAUUAAAAUGUGUAGAUGCAAAAUUCUGACUCCAAUUACAAUGUGUGUGGAGGGUUUCCACACCACUAAGCAAUUCUUGGACACCAGCUGGGUGUCAUAUACUUCAACUCAAUUCUGACACUAUCUACCUGGAGAUGGUGUCAGAUCCCACAGGUUAAGGGUUCAGUGAUACAAGACUGCACCCCGCCCCUUUCAGAUGCCAACUGCAAGUCCAGGUUGUCACCUGUGCUUCUGACGGACUGGCUAUAGAUCGGAGGUUCCAGUGACCGCUCCUUGGGUUUGAUUACUUCACUAGAAUGCUCAC